AUAUGCUGCUUCAAGCAAGAAAAAUUGAGUGUGUACAAGGGGUUGACUGGGGCCCUCAGGAAGAUGGCUUAGUAUCAAAUUUAUCUCACAGAAACAAAUGCUGCCAAGUGAUUGGUAUUAAUAAUGCAUUGAAAGCUGCAGACACAUCUGAUAUUUUCUUCUACUCUUGAGGAAAAGGAUUAUUGUAAACCUUUGAAUGUUCCUUUCGUUCCUCCAGUCAGAGUAAUCUUGAGGGCUCUUGAGGUACUCAAGGAAGGUUUACUGGAAUCUGGAAGAUGUGGCCGUCAACGGGUGUCAAGAAGAAUUGUGCUAUUUGCCCCGUGGAAAUAUUGUGGU